rnacentral:tRNA from 1 species
UGGGGUAUCGCCAAGUUGGUAAGGCACGGGUCUCUGACUCCCGCAUUCCUAGGUUCGAGUCCUAGUACCCCAGCCA